ACGAUGUUCCGCUGCAGUGAAUUGUUCUGUAUGAGCAUCUG
rfam:Bacillus thermoamylovorans genome assembly, strain 1A1, contig: A1A_CC45